rnacentral:lncRNA from 1 species
UUUUGGCAAUCUUUGCUGUGGUCUCAUAUACCAGGUCUAGACCAAUCAAUUUUCUAUCACCUACUUCCUCCCAACAGAUUGGUGAUCUACAAGAUCAACCAUACAAUUCUUUAUACAAGGCCAUACCAAUACAUGCCUGAUAACUAUUAUUAUAGCCGAACUUUACUAGGAGUAGGUGAUCAUCCUAGUGUCCUUUGAAAUCUAGAACACAACUCCUGAGCAUAUCCUCUAGUGUGCGGAACAUUCAUUCUGAUUGUCCAUUUAUCUGAGGGUAGAAUGUUGUAUUAAGAGAUAAUUUUUUUCUCAUCGCUUGUUCAAAGCUUGUCCAAAAUCUAGAGGUAAACUUG